UACGUAGGGGGCAAGCGUUGUCCGGAAUUACUGGGCGUAAAGCGCGCGUAGGCGGACCUGCAAGUCGGGGGUGAAAGCCCGAGGCUCAACCUCGGAACUGCCUUCGAUACUGCGGGUCUCGAGUCCGGGAGAGGUGAGUGGAAUUCCUAGUGUAGAGGUGAAAUUCGUAGAUAUUAGGAAGAACACCAGUGGCGAAGGCGGCGAUCUGGGUCGAUACUGACGCUGAGACGCGAAAGCGUGGGGAGCGAACAGG
rnacentral:rRNA from 1 species